rnacentral:lncRNA from 1 species
UGAACUAGCACACAAGCUGCUGUGUCAGUUUUUGUUCAGCGCCACCACUUGGGAGCGCACUUCUGCAAAAGUGUCGUUGCAAAACUUGCGGAGUUCUUGUGAGGCGGACUCUUCGGUUGCAGCGAGGUAUCCUUCGUUGUCUACAUAUACAAGGAGAAAAA